UACGGGGGGGGCAAGCGUUGUUCGGAAUUACUGGGCGUAAAGGGUUCGUAGGUGGCCAACUAAGUCAGACGUGAAAUCCCUCAGCUUAACUGGGGAACUGCGUCUGGGACUGGAUGGCUUGAGUGCAGGAGAGGAACGCGGAAUUCCAGGUGUAGCGGUGAAAUGCGUAGAUAUCUGGAGGAACACCGGUGGCGAAGGCGGCGACCUGGGUAGAGACUGACGCUGAGGUGCGAAAGCGUGGGGAGCAAACAGG
rnacentral:rRNA from 1 species